AAAUAGCCCAUGCGGAAAUUGAGAAAUAAUAAGGAUUGACCUAAUAAUUGUAUUAUUGACCUAAUAAUUCUAUGUACCGACUCGCAGUAUGUCAAAUUUGUCCCAUGCGGAAAUUCUCCAUCUCCCGCUUCCCGCUUCCCGCUUCCCGCUUCCCACCUCCCACCUCCCACCCACUGAAUUUAUUAGUGACAGCGGAGGGUCAAAAGCAUUGGGCGGGUGAAGGUAAACCCCACGCAUUGACGCAUAGUCGCAUACCUGUUAAAGUGUUAUUAUUAUUAUUAUUAUUAUUAUUCUAAAGUGUGACAACUUUGGC
rnacentral:lncRNA from 1 species